CCUACGGGCGGCAGCAGUGGGGAAUCUUCCACAAUGGGGGAAACCCUGAUGCAGCAACGCCGCGUGAGUGAAGAAGUAAUUCGUUAUGUAAAGCUCUAUUAGCAGGGAAGAAAAUGACGGUACCUGAGUAAGCACCCCCUGCUAACUACGUGCCAGCAGCCGCGGUCAUACGUAGGGGGCAAGCGUUAUCCGGAUUUACUGGGUGUAAAGGGAGCGUAGACGGCAGUGCAAGUCUGGAGUGAAAGGCGGGGGCUCAACCCCCGGGCUGCUCUGGAAACUGUACGGCUGGAGUGCAGGAGAGGUAAGUGGAAUUCCGAGUGUAGCGGUGAAAUGCGUAGAUAUUAGGAGGAACACCAGUGGCGAAGGCGGCUUACUGGACUGUAACUGACGUUGAGGCGCGAAAGCGUGGGGAGCAAACAGGAUUAGAUACCCUGGUAGUC
rnacentral:rRNA from 1 species